GAUGAAGAACGUAGCGAAAUGCGAUACGUAAUGUGAAUUGCAGAAUUCAGUGAAUCAUCGAAUCUUUGAACGCAUAUUGCGCUCUCUGGUAUUCCGGAGAGCAUGCUUGUUUGAGUAUCAGUAAACACCUCAACUUCCAUAUCUUUUUUGAAAUGGGAGUUGGACUUGAGUGAUCCCAACGCUUUUCCUCACCGAAAAGUGGCGGGUUACUUGAAAUGCAGGUGCAGCUGGACUUUUCUCUGAGCUAUAAGCAUAUCUAUUUAGUCUGCCUAAAAAACAGAUUAUUACCUUUGCUGCAGCUAACAUAAAGGAGAUUAGUUCUUGUGCUGACUGAUGCAGGAUUCACAAAGACAGGCUUCGACCGACUUUGUAAACUCGAUCUCAAAUCAAGUAAGACUACCCGCUGAACUUAAGCAUAUCAAUAAGCGGAGGA
rnacentral:misc_RNA from 1 species